UACGUAGGGUGCGAGCGUUAAUCGGAAUUACUGGGCGUAAAGCGUGCGCAGGCGGCGCCGCAAGUCAGGCGUGAAAUCCCCGAGCUUAACUUGGGAAUGGCGCUUGAAACUACGGUGCUGGAGUGUGGCAGAGGGAGGUGGGAUUCCACGUGUAGCGGUGAAAUGCGUAGAGAUGUGGAGGAACACCGAUGGCGAAGGCAGCCUCCUGGGCCAACACUGACGCUCAUGCACGAAAGCGUGGGGAGCAAACGGG
rnacentral:rRNA from 1 species